rnacentral:lncRNA from 1 species
AUGAGCGGCUGCCUCCUCCUCUCUUCAUCUCCAGUAGCGUUUCUCAGGGAGGUGGGAUGCAGUCACGCUCCGCUGGAUUCUGUGGAUGAAAUCCAAAGGAAAUCUUUGUACUGUGAUGAGCAAACCGCGCGCGCUAUCUUGCAAACGAUGUCAGACUCUUCUUUGCCAGCCUUCCCUUCCGUCUUCCCUUUCCUGUUUCUGAGAAAGGAGAGCGGUGCCUUGGGUGCAGCAGGGCAGGAGUCAGUGCAACACAAAGGUGCUGUGUCUGUCGCAGCGUUUGUCCAGGGGCCGCCAAAGGCAGGAGCACAGCACAGCACCAUUCAUUCCUGUGAGAGGACAGUGGCUGCGGUGAGUUUCAACCAUGUCUGCGCCGCAUCAUUCCCAGCAGGUGUUUCUGGACAGUGCAUAGAAGCUGUGAAAAACUAUUUAAGAAAUCUUCAUUACAAACUGAAGAAAUAUGGAAAAGGUCCAUGUCAUGGGCAGAUCAGAGGAAUGAUGGAGAAUCGUUGACAUUUGAUGUAACACAGAGAAGACUUUUGCACCUCUAAUCUGCAAAUCAGAUAUUGUCAACAUUCCCUUUAUGACCAAGGAGGCCACAAUUCAGCUGAGUAUUUAAACAGAUGUCUUUCUGUAAUGAUGUUAUUUCACAGUAAUUAGGAAUGUAUUUAAAGUUACACUAAUGUUCAAUACAUUGUCUUCUGAGGGAUUUAUUAUGUGAAUGGAAAGUCUUUACUAUAGCUUUCUUUCUUUUAAACAAAAUAUCAUCAAAUUUCACUUUCUCUAAUAGAUACUUCACUCUAAC